rnacentral:lncRNA from 10 species
GGAGGAAUCUGCAUCAGGAUCACCAGUCACCUGCUGCUCAAGACAGGCACCAGGAUGAAGCUGCCUGGGGGAAAAGGCUGGGAACCCCGAAUCUCCUGCAGAUCUUCAAGGUGAAGGUGUUUGACACCUGCCAGUUUCUCUGUGAGGAGGUUGCAAGGACAUGCCCAGAAAAUAAGCAUCAUGAGAGGAAGACUGAGUUUAUCUGAGGUUUGACUGCAAAACCAGCCAUAACCCAGCUAAAUCCCUGAUUGGAUGGAAAUGAUCAUUCUUUGAAUUUAUCCACACAGUAGAGCACAGAGGGCUCUGCUAUGGUGGAAGGCAACAUGUGGAACCUCCAUUCUUGUUCUCUUUCUAAAUACACAAGAUAUUAACAAUGCCUGUAUGGAUUUUAAAAGAAAAGCAUAUGUUACUUGUGUAUUCUAAAAAUAAGAGCACAAAAACUUUGAAAGUAAAAUACAGGAAAGAAAUGAUGUAAACACUAACCAAGAGAAAGCUGGUGCAGCAAAGUAGACUUUAAGUCAUGAAUGGAGCCAGAAUCACAUAGGAUUCCGAUAUUGGAGGUAGCAGACAGGAGCUUUAGAAUAACCAUAAAUUAAAUAAAAUGGAGGCAGGGUGGACAGAAUGAAUGAAAAGAUUCAGAACUUCAAAAAAAACUGUAAAUUACAAAGAGUCAAUAGAAUUUGUAGAAUUCAAAAAAACAUGUUUGAAAUUAAUAAUGAAAUGGGUAGUUUCAACAGCAGAUUAGACACAGCAGAAUACAAAAUUUUAACACUAGAAGAGAAGUCAAGUGCCCAGAGACAAAAAAAGAAAACGUACAUGGCAUAAGAGCCACAUGGGACAUAUUCAUAAUGUGUAUCACAUAAUACUAUAUAUGUGUGUAUAUGUACUCUAUAUAUAGUAUUAUAGUUUCAGAAAGAGAAGAGAAACAUAAGACAAAAUCAAUAUUUUAGAAAUACCAAAUUAGUAUUUUUCAAAACUUAUGAAUAUCGAUCCCCAUGUUUAAAAAACUCAGAACCUCAAGCAAGAGAAACACAAGCAAAACCACAAGCAGGCAAAUCCUAGUAAAACUGUUGAAAAGUGAAGAGAAAAUCUUAAAAGCAUCCAGAAGCAAAAAAAAAGACACAUUACCUUCCAAAAAACAACAAUAGAAAUGACAGCUGACUUCUCAACAGAAAUGAUGAAAGCUGGAAGUAAUUUAAUAACAACUUUGAAAUGAUGAAAGAAAAAUAAGACACAAUCUAGAAUCUUAACUCAGUAAAAUAUGCUUCAAAAAAUAUAGUGAAAUAAAAACAUUUUGAAGCAAAUGAGAACUGAGGGCAUUUGUUGCCAACAGGCCUGCGUUAAAAGAAUAAUAAAAGACAGUUAUUCUGGUAGAAGAAAAAUGAUCCAGGAUGGAACUAUAAUAUGCAGGAUGAAAAGGAAAAAAAAGAGAAAAUGUGUGGUAAAUAUAAAUGAAUAUUUAUUGUACAAGGCAAUAACUGUGUCUCAUGAAAUUUAAAAUAUAUAUAGAAUUAAAAUGCAUAACAACAAAAACAUAAAAGGUGGGGGUUGGUGAAUAGAAGCCAAAGAUUCUAAGUUUUUGCCAAUAUCAGAGAAGUGGUUAAAAUAAUUGUAAAGUAUAACUAAGUGGAUAGAUGGAUGAUAUGGAUUAAGAAAAAUUAUUUGACUACUCCAAAAGAAGUUAAGAAAAGGCAGAAAGGGACAAAAAAUAUAUGGGCCAAAUAGAAAAUGAAUAGUACAUUUAUAUAUAAACCACAUUAUGUCAAUAUUGCUAAUAUAAUUAGUAGGAUAUUUCCAGACUAAAUAAAAAAGAAACUCAAAUCUCUUCUUCUCACGGGAGUCCUAAUUAAAAUAUAGAAACACAGAAAGGUGGAGAGUAAAGGAUACACACACACACACACACACACACACACACAUAUAUACACACACAUAUACACACACACAUAUACACCACGUGAACACUAACCCAAAAAAGCUGAUGUAGCUAUGCUAAUAUUAGACAAACUGUUUUUUAAGCCAAGAUGCGUUGCUUUAUUAUAAAGAUGUUCUUUUUAUUAUAAAAAGUACCUAUCUUACAAAUAUCACAGUACUAAAUCUGUAUGCUCUUACCAACAGCUUCAAAAUAUAUAAAACAAAAAAUUGAAGAACCAAGGCCGGGCACAGUCGUUCACACCUGUGAUCCCAGCACUUUGGGAGGCCAAGGUGGGCAGAGUUCAGGAGUUCAAGACCAGCUUGGCCAACAUGGUGAAACCCCGUUUUUAUUAAAAAUACAAAAACUAGCUGGGCAAAGUGGUGGGCGCCUGUAAUCCCAGCUACGCAGGAGGCUGAGGCAGAAGAAUCGUUUGAACCUGGGGGGUGGAAGUUUUACAGUGAGCCAAGAUUGUGCCAUUGCACUCCAGCCUGGGUGACAGAGUGAGACUGUCUCAAAAAAAAAAAAAAAAAUUAAGAACCAAAAGAUAGUCAAUUUCACAAUCAUAGUGGGAGGCUUUAAUACAACUCUCUGAAUAGCUGAUAGAACAAUGAAAUUCAGAGGACCAGUGAGCACGUAGGAGACCUGAAUGACACAGUUAAAAAGCUUGAUGUAAUUGGCAUGUGAUCACACCCAACAACGCCAUAAAACAUGUAUCAUAAAUAACCAUAUACUGAGCCAUAAAAAAGCAUCAGUAAAUAUCAAAUGAUUGACAUCAUUCAGAGUAUGUUAUCUGAUUAUCAUGGAAUUGAGGUAGAAAUUAAUAACAAAAUGACAAGAAAAACACCCCCACUAAAAAUUUAACAAUGCAGUUUAACAUAAUUCAGAGGUCUAAGAUGAAAUAAAAAUAGAAACUAGAAAAUAAUUGAGUAAUAUUAUUAACACAUGUCAAGACUGGUAGGAUGGAGGUAAAGUGGUGCUUAGACGGAAUGAUCUAGCCUUAAAUGUACAUAUUCGAGUAAGUUUCCAUCUUAGAAUGCUAGAAAAGGAAGAGUGAAUUUAACAUAAGGAAAGAAGAAAAAAGACCAUAAAAGCAGAAAUCAGUUAAAUCUUUUUAAAAAUGUAAAACAGUAAAUCAAGAGUCAAAAGUUCAAAAAAUUUAUAAAAUUAUUUGCUGCAUAUAUGAUCAAUCAUAAAAUAAAGAAAAAGAAUUUACCAAUAACAGGAAUGGAAAGAACAGAGCUAUAGAUCCUACAGAUAUCGAAAUAUAAGAUAAUUUUAUGAACAAUUUUAUUGCAAUAAAUUUGAUUAGCUGGAAAAAUGGACAAAUGUCUCAAAAAGGACAAUUUACCAAACCUGACAGCAGAAAAAACAGAAAGCCUGAACUGACCUAUAGCUAUUAAAGAAAUUGAUUCUAGACAUGAAGUCCUUGCCCAUGCCUAUGUCCUGAAUGGUAUUGCCUAGGUUUUCUUCUAGGGUUUUUAUGGUUUUAGGUCUAACAUUUAAGUCUUUAAUCCAUCUUGAAUUAAUUUUUGUCUAAGGUGUAAGGAAGGGAUCCAGUUUCAGCUUUCUGCGUAUGGCUAGCCAGUUUUCCCAGCACCAUUUGUUAAAU